AUAAAGUCCUCAACUUUUGAUCUCAGCUCCGGCGAACUUCACAUGUUCUCCUCCACCCAUGUUUUCCGCUUUAUCCUCCCAACCACCCUAGCCUACCCAUUAUAUAAACCCUCCAGCCUCCACCACACAGCAUCGCCAGUUUAAACUCAUCCUUCUUCACCGACCACUAUUAUUUCACUUGCAAUCGUCCUCUGUAAGAGGCUACAAGUACCGUUAAAUACCGCUUUGAAUCUUCCGGUGGAUUUAUCGAGUUCUUAGUCGGUGACGCCGAUUGGAAGAUUGCCCUUAGGAAUCCGUAUGCAAUUAGCAGUUUUUCUUUUCAUCUGUGUGAUUCUUGAUGUUUGUAAAUGAGAUAACCAGAUGAUCAAUGGCCAAUUCCUUUUAAAUUAUCAUAGCCCCAAAUCUUGCUUAUGUUGCAAUUGAGUUUCAUACGGAUGCCCCUGCCUGCUAACCAUGAGAUCGAAAAGUAACUAAGGCAAAAUUCAAUGAACAAAGAUCCUCUAUUUGAUUGAUUUCAGUUUUUUGGGGGGCUUUAUUUGGGUUUUAUGGAUUUAAUUGCACAUUAUUCAGUAGCAGUUUGUUUUCCUCUCAUCGGUUUUCUGAUUUCAUUCGGGGGUAUGUUCGAUGACCUCUCCAUCGCUGGCGAUCUUGGGUUUUCAGUUGCUCAUCCUCCCUCACAGACAGAGGUGGAAGACAUAAAAAAGCAGAUGCGAAGUUGAUAAUUGUUCAGAUACAAAGCUUACCUUUUGCCAUCUUCAAGGCGUAGGGCACCAUGACCUAAAGCCCGAGAUUUCACUAGGCUGGGUAAUGAUCACAUGUUCACACAUCCAAUGGAUUUUGCAACUCGGAGGAAGAAGCUUGCAAAAAGAUUGUACGUAUCUCUGAAAGAAUUUGAGGAAUAAUCGUUAUUGGAUGGUAUGGUGAAAUUGUGUAAAAAACUGUCGGAGUUGCUCCAAAUCGCUUACUUGCAAUGGUGUUAUAAGUUGUGAUUGAUAAUGGUUUCACAAAGAGAACCAGUAGCCGUGAUAAGGCAAUGAGGCUGAAUGAGCUGGUAAAUGAUCAGGAGAAUCAGCGGUUUGUGCUCAAUCACGAUAGAAUAAGGAAUGAUGAUGAAGAAAAAAAUCCUUAAACCUGAUAUUAUUUGGGCUUUUGGAACAGGGUAAAAUAGGAAAUCAAAUACAGUAGUGCCCUUAAAAGGACUUGUGUUUACAAGGUUCCUACAUACUGCUCUACGACUUGUACUAUAAUGUGUUCUUGGUGAUCACUAACAUGUUUUUGGUUCCUAAAUUUCCUCAUCAGGAUUUUGGACAACAGAUGGUGACACUGUUACACAUAUUCUUUGCCUUUUCGUGUUUAUCUUCU
rnacentral:lncRNA from 1 species